rnacentral:rRNA from 1 species
UUGAACGCUGGCGGCAGGCCUAACACAUGCAAGUCGAGCGGUAGCACAGAGAGCUUGCUCUCGGGUGACGAGCGGCGGACGGGUGAGUAAUGUCUGGGAAACUGCCUGAUGGAGGGGGAUAACUACUGGAGACGGUAGCUAAUACCGCAUAACGUCGCAAGACCAAAGUGGGGGACCUUCGGGCCUCAUGCCAUCAGAUGUGCCCAGAUGGGAUUAGCUAGUAGGUGGGGUAACGGCUCACCUAGGCGACGAUCCCUAGCUGGUCUGAGAGGAUGACCAGCCACACUGGAACUGAGACACGGUCCAGACUCCUACGGGAGGCAGCAGUGGGGAAUAUUGCACAAUGGGCGCAAGCCUGAUGCAGCCAUGCCGCGUGUGUGAAGAAGGCCUUCGGGUUGUAAAGCACUUUCAGCGGGGAGGAAGGCGAUAAGGUUAAUAACCUUGUCGAUUGACGUUACCCGCAGAAGAAGCACCGGCUAACUCCGUGCCAGCAGCCGCGGUAAUACGGAGGGUGCAAGCGUUAAUCGGAAUUACUGGGCGUAAAGCGCACGCAGGCGGUCUGUCAAGUCGGAUGUGAAAUCCCCGGGCUCAACCUGGGAACUGCAUUCGAAACUGGCAGGCUAGAGUCUUGUAGAGGGGGGUAGAAUUCCAGGUGUAGCGGUGAAAUGCGUAGAGAUCUGGAGGAAUACCGGUGGCGAAGGCGGCCCCCUGGACAAAGACUGACGCUCAGGUGCGAAAGCGUGGGGAGCAAACAGGAUUAGAUACCCUGGUAGUCCACGCCGUAAACGAUGUCGAUUUGGAGGUUGUGCCCUUGAGGCGUGGCUUCCGGAGCUAACGCGUUAAAUCGACCGCCUGGGGAGUACGGCCGCAAGGUUAAAACUCAAAUGAAUUGACGGGGGCCCGCACAAGCGGUGGAGCAUGUGGUUUAAUUCGAUGCAACGCGAAGAACCUUACCUGGUCUUGACAUCCACAGAACUUUCCAGAGAUGGAUUGGUGCCUUCGGGAACUGUGAGACAGGUGCUGCAUGGCUGUCGUCAGCUCGUGUUGUGAAAUGUUGGGUUAAGUCCCGCAACGAGCGCAACCCUUAUCCUUUGUUGCCAGCGGUUAGGCCGGGAACUCAAAGGAGACUGCCAGUGAUAAACUGGAGGAAGGUGGGGAUGACGUCAAGUCAUCAUGGCCCUUACGACCAGGGCUACACACGUGCUACAAUGGCAUAUACAAAGAGAAGCGACCUCGCGAGAGCAAGCGGACCUCAUAAAGUAUGUCGUAGUCCGGAUUGGAGUCUGCAACUCGACUCCAUGAAGUCGGAAUCGCUAGUAAUCGUAGAUCAGAAUGCUACGGUGAAUACGUUCCCGGGCCUUGUACACACCGCCCGUCACACCAUGGGAGUGGGUUGCAAAAGAAGUAGGUAGCUUAACCUUCGGGAGGGCGCUUACCACUUUGUGAUUCAUGACUGGGGUG